CCCCAGUUAACUGACAUCAACUACCUAAUGAACCCAUCUGCCUCAGCCUGGAACUGUUAAGAGCUACUCUCUGUUUCUUCUCAACUGCAACCCUGGGUGGCCUGAAUUCCCAACCCCCUCUGCCUGGGAUCAUGGAGCAGCCCUGGAUGGCUCAUGUCUGCCAGAUUUUCAUGACCUUGGAACUCUAACAGGUCAGAGAAGGCCUUCCCACCCCCAACUCUCUGAAG